AGUUCCAGUUUCAGUGAAUGUACAUGAAGAGUGUGAAGUGUAUUUAGUACAUUUCCAGAUCUGCUUGAUCAAAGUCUAAUGUCUUUCUGAAUUCAUCACCCAAAUGAUAAAGAACUAUUUAUGACGUCCUCUGAGAUCGCGAGUCGGCCGCCAGUUUCAAUCUACAACGCAGAUUCUUCAUGGAAUCGUGAGUCCUGAGCCAACGCUGGCUUUUGUCCAUGACAGAAGAGGGACUUUUACCAACGUUCGGGUCCUUAUCUUCACCACGUACGCUGCUUCUUGUGCUUCAUUGGCGAAUUAAAUCACUUCAGUGUUCGCUUCCGCCCGCUGUGAAGUACCUGCAGUCACUCGCCACGGGAUUAUGCCCAGGUAAUGCAGAGGAGACGUCGAGAAGAUGGAUUUUCUCAUCUUUAACAAUCGUCACCGGUCUCCGUUGGACGUUGCCCCUGCUCCUGGUGCGAACGAAACUCGGUGGAAUCGCGACCGACACCGAGACUCGUCAUCAACGUGGAUCAUCGUAUUGUUGGUAUUAUUGUGUUAGUGUAAGUUAACCCGUUGGCUGCCACAC